AAGGUAGUGAGUUAACACCUGCAUUAUUUGACGUUACCUACAGAAGAAGCACCGGCUAAUCCGUGCCAGCAGCCGCGGUAAUACGGAGGGUGCGAGCGUUAAUCGGAAUUACUGGGCGUAAAGCGCAUGCAGGCGGCCUGUUAAGUCAGAUGUGAAAGCCCGGGGCUUAACCUCGGAAUUGCAUUUGAAACUGGCAGGCUAGAGUCUUGUAGAGGGGGUAGAAUUUCAGGUGUAGCGGUGAAAUGCGUAGAGAUCUGAAGGAAUACCAGUGGCGAAGGCGGCCCCCUGGACAAAGACUGACGCUCAGAUGCGAAAGCGUGGGGAGCAAACAGGAUUAGAUACCCUGGUAG
rnacentral:rRNA from 1 species